AGAGUUUGAUCAUGGCUCAGAAUGAACGUUGGCGGCGUGGAUUAGGCAUGCGAGUCGCGCGAGAAUGUAGCAAUACAGGACAGCGGCGAAAGGGAGAGGACAACACGGGAAUCUGCCUUGGGGACGAGGAUAGCGUCGGGAAACUGACAGUAAUACUCGAUAAUGUUUGCGGACCAAAGGUGUGAUUCCGCCCCAAGAUGAGCCCGUGCCCCAUUAGCUAGUUGGCAGGGUAAUGGCCUACCAAGGCAAAGAUGGGUAUGGGGUGUGAGAGCAUGCCCCCACUCACUGGGACUGAGACACUGCCCAGACACCUACGGGUGGCUGCAGUCGAGAAUCUUCGGCAAUGGGCGAAAGCCUGACCGAGCGACGCCGCGUGCGGGAUGAAGGCCUUCGGGUUGUAAACCGCUGUCGUAGAGGAGGAAAUAUAAGUGGGUUAUCCCAUUUAUUUGACUAAUUCUAGGAGGAAGGACCGGCUAAUCUCGUGCCAGCAGCCGCGGUAAUACGAGAGGUCCAAACGUUAUUCGGAAUUACUGGGCUUAAAGAGUUCGUAGGCGGCUAAGUAAGUGGGAUGUGAAAGCCCUCGGCUCAACCGAGGAACUGCGUUCCAAACUACAUAGCUAGAGGAAGAUAGAGGUGAGCAGAACUGAUGGUGGAGCGGUGAAAUGCGUUGAUAUCAUCAGGAAUACCGGAGGCGAAGGCGGCUCACUGGGUCUUUUCUGACGCUGAGGAACGAAAGCUAGGGGAGCAAACGGGAUUAGAUACCCCGGUAGUCCUAGCCGUAAACGAUGAGCACUGGACCGGAGCCCUGCACAGGGUUUCGGUCGUAGCGAAAGUGUUAAGUGCUCCGCCUGGGGAGUAUGGUCGCAAGGCUGAAACUCAAAUGAAUUGACGG
rnacentral:rRNA from 1 species